rnacentral:rRNA from 1 species
AUUGAACGCUGGCGGCAGGCCUAACACAUGCAAGUCGAACGAGUGGCAGACGGGUGAGUAAUGUCUGGGAAACUGCCCGAUGGAGGGGGAUAACUACUGGACACGGUAGCUAAUACCGCAUACCAUCAGAUGUGCCCAGAUGGGAUUAGCUGGUAGGUGGGGUAACGGCUCACCUAGGCGACGAGCCCUAGCUGGUCUGAGAGGAUGACCAGCCACACUGGAACUUAGACACGGUCCAGACUCCUACGGGAGGCAGGAGUGGGGAAUAUUUCACAAUGGGCGCAAGGCUGGUGCAGCCAUGCCGCGUGUAUGAAGAAGGCCCUCGGGUUGUAAAGUACUUUCAGCGGGGGGGCGUUACUCGCAGGAGAAGCACCGGCUAACUCCGUGCCAGCAGCCGCGGUAAUUC